GAGGUGAAGACUGAGAGAUCAAAGCUGCUGGACCUUCAUCAAUUAACAGUGUGAUUUAAAGUCAGCUUCUUCAUCUCUCUGAAGAGGAGAUCUCAACACUUCAGGAGGACCAGGAGACCUGGAGA